rnacentral:misc_RNA from 1 species
GCCACGUCAAGCGAGUGCAACUGAGAAAGGUGUUCAAUGCUUGCAGGUAUGCUUUCGAAGUUGUUUCCACUUAGAAAUAGCAUCUUCAAUGAGGAUAGUCUGUCUAUUGCUGUGGGAAUUUGUAAUAAACCUGCUGAAUCUUGAACUCUAAACAAUAACCUUCCGAGACUUUUUAAAUGUAUGAUAGAGGAUGGCAGUUGUUU